rfam:Ictidomys tridecemlineatus contig058176, whole genome shotgun sequence.
UGGGUUGUGGCUCAGUGGUAGAGCCCUCCCCUCACACAUUGGAUACUCUGGGUUCGAUCCUCAGCACCUCAU